CUCGUAGGCGGCUUGUUAAGUCGGAUGUGAAAGCCCUGGGCUCAACCUGGGAACUGCAUUCGAUACUGGCAAACUAGAGUAUAGUAGAGGCAAGUGGAAUUCCGGGUGUAGCGGUGAAAUGCGUAGAUAUCCGGAGGAACAUCAGCGGCGAAGGCGACUUGCUGGACUAAUACUGACGCUGAGGAGCGAAAGCGUGGGGAGCAAACG
rnacentral:rRNA from 1 species